rnacentral:rRNA from 1 species
GAUCCUGGCUCAGGAUAAACGCUGGCGGCGCACAUAAGACACGCAAGUCGAACGGAAGUCGUUAUAAAAGGAGAGAAGAUUUGUCGGAUUGAAUUUUAUAACAAUGGCUUUAGUGGCGGACUGGUGAGUAACGCGUAAGGAACCUACCGUAUUAGAGGGGAACAACAAUGAGAAAUCAUUGCUAAUACCGCAUAUGCCAUAACUACCGCAUAGGUAGAAGUGGGAAAGGAGUUAAUCCACUGGAUAGGAUUGGG